AAUCAACGCUGGCGGCGUGCCUCAGACAUGCAAGUCGAACGCGAAAGGUUCCUUCGGGGACCGAGUAGAGUGGCGCACGGGUGAGUAACACGUAGGUAAUUUGCCUUUGGGUGGGGAAUAACUCAGGGAAACUUGAGCUAAUACCGCAUAAUGCAGCGGCUCGACAUCGAGACAGUUGUUAAAGCGGGGAUUCGCAAGAACCUCGCGCCUAAAGAGAAGCCUGCGGCAGAUAGCUAGUUGGUAAGGUAAUGGCUUACCAAGGCGACGAUCUGUAACCGGCCUGAGAGGGCGGUCGGUCACACUGACACUGACAUACGGGUCAGACUCCUACGGGAGGCAGCAGUCGGGAAUUUUGGGCAAUGGGCGAAAGCCUGACCCAGCAACGCCGCGUGAAGG
rnacentral:rRNA from 1 species